rnacentral:tRNA from 1 species
GCCGGAGUGGCGGAACUGGCAGACGCGCGGGACUCAAAAUCCCGUUCUCCUUGCGAGAGUGUGGGUUCGAUCCCCUCCUCCGGCA